rnacentral:misc_RNA from 1 species
AUGCGGCGAGUGGUGCGGCAG